rnacentral:tRNA from 1 species
CCCUGGUGGUUCAGAACCUGGUGGUAAAGAAUCUGCCUGCAACGCAGGAGACCCAGGUUCGAUCCCUGGAUCAGGAA